rnacentral:rRNA from 1 species
UACAGAGGUGGCAAGCGUUGUUCGGAAUUACUGGGCGUAAAGCGCGUGUAGGCGGCUCUUCAAGUCAGGCGUGAAAGCCCCGGGCUCAACCCGGGAACUGCGUCCGAUACUGGCAGGCUUGAAUCCGGGAGAGGGAUGCGGAAUUCCAGGUGUAGCGGUGAAAUGCGUAGAUAUCUGGAGGAACACCGGUGGCGAAGGCGGCAUCCUGGACCGGUAUUGACGAUGAGGCGCGAAAGCCAGGGGAGGCAAACGGG